ACAUGAAGUUCUCUUGAAUCAGCCAAGUCAGUUGUCAGUCCUAACCAAGCUGUUUUUUGCCUUGCAUUUCGGUACAGAGUUGAGUUCAUGUCAGGUCUUUAAAACGUCCUUUUCAAGCAUAUCUUUCAGUAAACAUCGAUUACUUAAUAUGCAAGGAAUACAGUGGUGGAAAUACCACAUUCAGGCUCUAGGAUUCGACACUUCUGCAAAUACUUGGAAGACCUACCCUGGGCCAGGCUGUGUGCCAGGUGAGGGGGAUGCAAGAAGGAACAGCAGGCUUUCAGGUUGACCCUGUCUGGAAGCACCUUGAGGCAUGAUAAGAGAGGAACACCUGCCUUUGUUAGCUGGGUUUAUAGCAGGGCCCUGUUUAACUUAGCUUCCCCAUUAGACAUACACUGAAAACUGAGAACCCAUCUCUUGGCUGUUUGCACAGAGCUGGUGAUUAAGCCUCCUUCUCUUUUUGCAGAGCAAAAAGUUUCAAGCUCUGUGGAAUAGUUUCAAGCUCUUGGAAGAAGAAGGAAGACUCCAUGCCAAGUCUUAGAUAUCCAACUCAAUUCAGCGAAGAUGUAUUGAGGUCUACUAAGCAACAGGAUACGACUCCAUCCUUAGGGGCCCCACUGUUCAUUCAUUCACAAACGUUAGGUUAGGACCCCAUCAAGAGAAAAACACAGCAAGUCGAAUUCAGGCCAAAUGGAAGAGUUGCCAGAAGAGACAUUUAAAUACACUGUGGUGCAGGUGUGAGAACAGGAGCUGGCCCCUGAAGCGGGAAGAAUCGGAAACACUCCUGGAAGAGGUAGCCCUGGCUAAGGGCCUGGAACCACUUUUACAGGCAGAUGUUGGGGGUGAAGAAGGCCCUGCAAAAAAUAGAAUCACCUAUAUCUCCAAUAUUGUUUAUUUGUACAGCAAAAUUCUCCUACCUUGGAACAUCAACGUUGGAAAUGGAUUUGGAAAUUGCUUAUUCUGCAAACAUCCUUUGAGCAGGAAUCUGGAUCCUUCCUUUCUGUGUGUGGCCUGCCAACUCUAACCCCUGGUUCCAGGGCAAAGGGGGAGAUCAUGAAGGACCAUCAAUGGGAGAGUUCAUGGACUACAUUUCAGAACUUGGUCAAACCUAACGCAAGGCAUCUGGGAAAUGAAGCCUAGCUGUGUGCUGGAAGGAGAAGAAAAGAGGUUUGGAGUACGGGAAGCCUGGCAUGCCACACCAGGGCCCCAGCAGUAACGUUUUGAGCUGUGCUGUAUGGAUGUUUAUCUCCUCUCUGUCCCAGGGUGCUGAGUGGUGACCAAAUUCUUUCAAAAAUUUGGGCCAAAAGAAAAGGA
rnacentral:lncRNA from 1 species